rnacentral:misc_RNA from 1 species
GUGCUAGUGAACGAAUAUGACAUAGACAAGAAAUACCUAAAUAAUAGGAAUCUGGUUAUUCUCAGUGCUACCACCUUAGCGAUUUUGUCGCUAAAUCUAGUGACUUUUAGAGUUCGAUAGCGAUUUUCAAAAGUGCGUCAUUGCUAAAAAAUAUUUUAGUGAUUUUUUAUUGAAAAACCAAUCUUAUACCUGUCUAAUAAGGUGGCAACACUGUUUAUUCUUAUUAGUUUAAACUUGAAGUUGACGUUUCAUGUGAGUUGUAU